CUUCAAAUCCCCCCUCAAUUCACGCCCAGUUCUUCUCUUUCUUCCCUUUUCCCCAAAGUUCCAUCUCUCUUCCCUCUUUCCAAAUUCCCCCCAAACCCCCAAAACUCUAGGGUUUUCAAUUAUCUGUUGAAUUUUGGAUCGGUGCUUUAUUUUAGUUUCUGUGUAGAAAUUCCGAUUGUUGGGUUUUGUGGGGAAUUUUGGGGGAUUCCAAUUGUAUAUUAAGAGAGAAAGAGAUGAGUUUUCAAGAUCUUGAAGCGGGUCGACCAUUGGGGCCCCGUAGAGGGUAUAUGAAUGGGAAGCAAGACCCAACCCAAGCUGUGGCUUCUGGAAUUUUCCAGAUUAACACUGCUGUUUCGACGUUUCAAAGGCUGGUCAAUACACUCGGAACACCCAAAGAUACACCCGAGCUGCGUGAGAAGUUGCACAAGACGAGAGUACAUAUUGGGCAGUUGGUGAAAGAUACAUCUGCAAAACUUAAGCAAGCCAGCGAAACAGAUCAUCGUGUUGAAGUCAGUGCUAGCAAGAAAAUAACAGAUGCUAAACUCGCUAAAGAUUUUCAAGCAGUCUUGAAGGAGUUUCAGAAGGCUCAAAGGCUUGCAGCUGAGAGAGAGACAGCAUAUACACCUUUUGCUCCUCAAGCAGUUCUUCCUUCUAGUUAUACAGCCAGUGAGAUAGAUGUUUCUAUGGAAAAGAGUCCAGAACAGCAGGCUCUCCUUGUGGAAGUAAGAAGACAGGAGGUUUUACUUUUGGACAACGAGAUUGCCUUUAAUGAAGCAAUUAUUGAAGAAAGAGAGCAGGGAAUACAAGAUAUACAGCAACAAAUUGGUGAAGUGAAUGAAAUUUUCAAGGACCUUGCUGUGCUUGUUCACGAGCAAGGAGCUAUGAUUGAUGAUAUUGGUUCUAACGUUGAGAAUGCACAUGCUGCGACUGCACUGGGGAGAUCACAACUUGCUAAAGCUGCAAAGACCCAAAGAUCGAAUUCAUCUCUGACUUGCUUACUCCUAGUGAUUUUCGGAAUCGUGCUCCUCAUUGUGAUCAUAGUACUUGCAGCCUGAGCUGAAGAUUACUGGGAUAUAGAAAAGGGUCCCGAACUCUGUUUAGAUACAAAAUUGAUUACUUCGAUUCGGCAGAAAAGGGACUCUUGUGAUUCGAGUCAUUUCAAAAGGCAGCCUGGAGUGUGACUCUGUUGUCCCUAUCCUUGUUUCUUCUAGUCAUAGUAGAAAAGUUGUGUAGUUGGGGAGGUGGGAUAACAAAGGUUUAUGUUCAACUUGUAAACCUGGUGCUGUGUUUGCAAGAUGUAUUGCUGCCAUUUAAUGGUGGGUCUGUCGAUAACAAUUUAUAUUUGUUUGAGGAGCAAUCUCUUAUAUUUGCACUUUGUGGAUACUCUUGAAUGAGCUGACAUUUGACAUUCAA